CCAAGACACCCUGAGGAGUCGGGCUUUUGACUUUGGUGCAGUGGGAAGAACGCAGCUUGGCAUUUGGGCAGUGCAGGCAGGACAGAGACGGGGUGCCAGGCAGGAGGAGGAGGAGCUGAGCUGGGGCCCACGCUGGGCAGAAGAUUGGAAUGAGAGGGAAGGGCCCAGGCCAGCUCUCAACCCAGGGAGAGAGUUUGGAGGUGACAUUGACAAGUUGGGGAGCAGAGGAGGGCCGGUCUGGGGAUGGAAGUGAGGUCAGGUGGGGUCAUGCUGAGUAGGUCACUUGGCAUCAGAUAGGCAGGGUGGCGGUCAGGUGAUCUGGAACCAGAGUGCAGGAGUUCAAAUCCAGGUGCAGCUGAUUCUCAGUUGUGUGGCCCUAGGAAAAGUGCUGAACCUCUCUGAGACCAGUUUCUUCUUCUGUAAAAUAAUCUCCACUGACAGGGUCCUUAGGAGGAUUCACCGAGGUCAGCGCACACCACACAAUGGUCCAGAGUCCUGAGCCUGGGUCCUCCUGCAGCCCUGUGAACUGUGAGAGAGCUCAGAGAACUGUGUGCUGUGAGGGGUCACCUUUGGUCAGGCCACUGGGACCUCACCGCACCUUCAGGGUGAGGACUACCUGGUCGGGUCGCACUGCUCCACGUACCCACCCCGUCAGGGGAGGCAGAGCACAAGUAAAAUGCACCCCAGGAGAAGCAACAAGGUCAGACUAGCAACGAUACGGCACCGGGAAAUGGCAGCGCCCACAGGGCCCAGCUCCCCACCCAACGCACAUCCUCCGGGAACGUCACGCCCAGGUGAGUGGGGAGGAGGGGGCCUGGCUGACCGCUGACCUCCCUCUGCUCGUGUCCACCGCCUCUGGUGGGGGAAGGACAGGCCGCCUCGCUCUGCUUGGCCUCGCCUUUGGGAACCGGCGGACACUGGGCCUGCCCAGGAAAUCCUCUGUCGCCCAGACCUGGGACACAAUGUGCCUGCGACCGGCCCCUUGUCUCCCGCCCCUGGCUGCUCUCCAGGUACAAGGGGAUCAAGUCGGGGAUCAAGCUCGAAGCCCCCACCCAGGAAGCGGGGAGGUGAGGGUCUGAACUCCCUUGGGGGCUGUCCCCCUGCACACCCAGCCCUCCAGCCCUCCACCUCCCCCUUCUCAGACAGCACACGGCAGGACUCACCAGCCAGCAUCUGGCCCACCCACUUGUCCCCCUCCUGCACGAGGCCUGGCCUUUGUCACCUUGCUCAUGCCGAUGGGGCUUUAAUCCUGGCUCAGGUGUGCUACUGACCCAGAGCAAUGGGACUUCUUGGGGACAGGCCAGCUUCCCGACUCUCUGGAACAGACCUCCCUGCUCCUUCUCUGUCUUGGAGAGAUCUGAGGAAAUGGCCUCCCUUAACACUCAAGUGCCCCUCGGCCAGCAGCGGGCAGCCCUCCGCAGCCGAGCCCUCAGGAGGGGACUCCGUGUGGCUCUCCAGCAGACUCUGGGCCCCGCCCAGCGCUGGCCGUGCUCCUGCUUCUGGUGUCCUCCUCCCCUGUGCGUGACACAGUGCCACGCACAGAGGCAACCCACGGGGGCCCCUGAGGCCGAGUGAUGCUCUGGGGUUUUCAAAUCGACCUCUCGGGCUGUCUCAGUCCCCUGAUGGCCAGCACUCCUCUGCAAGGAGCGCGGAGCCUGGCGCACAUCCAGAAGGAAGACCCUCAGCCAAGACCACUGCAGAGCUAACUGACCCGAGAGCCAGGACUUACAGCUAAGUGCACAAGCCACCUCCAGAGACCCAAGGGCUGAUGGCCCUCCUGCCACACACGGCUGGGAGGAGAGCCCCGUCCACAGCCCCAUCCUGGGCAGCCAGGUUCCUUCUUCACCCCACAUGGGACCAUGCGGCCUGACAGAAUUUUGUGCUGCUGCUAGAUACGCAGGGGGUCUGAAGGAUUCGGUCUAAACACCACAACUGUAGAAAAUGCAUAUCCUGCAGGCAGAGCUGACAGCAGGACAGUCCCAGAAGUCCAGACAGACGGCCCUGGCAGACUCAUAGGCUGCACCCUGACCCCAAGUGAUGCCCACCCUCUGCCUCACCUGUCAUGGUGGUCAGGGGAGGGGCCGGGGAGGGGGCUGCACAUGCAGAGUUCCUGCUGCUGUUGAGCACCCCCAGGGACAGAGGGAAAGAAUCAAGCCCCGACCCCCACCCAAGCAAGAAGUGCAAAUAAAACACCAAACUCUUCCUGCCGCACAGCCUUGCUCCCAACAGGAGCCUCGGUCCCAGGGCAAAUCACCGUCUCUGAAAAAAGGGGGACACUUAGUGAUGGAAACCAAGGCUGAUUGUUCGUUGUAAGGCGAAGCUCGAAGCUCGGCUAGGCUCUGCAGGGCCAGCCCGGCUUGCUGGCGACCUAAUCACAAGGAUGGGGGUGUCGUCCACUGUGAAGACCCCUCCGAUCCUGGGCCUCCAACAAGCCCCGAAGGAAUGGGGGGAAUGGGGGGAAUGGAGGGAAUGGAGGAACCGCUUCCUCUCUAAAACAAUAAAAGGUAGAUAAUUAGCGAGAACUUGUUAAUGGGUGAUUUCAGAGGGAGCCAGUUCAUAACAGCUUCUGAAUAUAUCUGCAUUUAACUGAA